UGAACUGGACUCAGCUGUGAUGCUGCUGCA
rnacentral:piRNA from 1 species